ensembl:lncRNA
CGCGCUGAUCACCGUUGCUCUGAAGAUGGCUUCUGGUGGGUGCCUGAAAACCAGUUCAGUCGUGCGCAGAAGGGAUCCGUGGUGAGUUUUAACAGACUUGGUGGAGAAGAGAAACAGCCAGGGCCGGCCCUACCGGGAGGCAGAGGGGAACAUUUAUCUUAGGAGGAAAGGAAGGGGUGGCUGGCCAAGGUGAGUGGAAGCAAAUGGAUCGCACAAAGAAUGGGCGCUGGGUGUGUGCGGGUCGCCAUCAGAGGAUCCAGAGAGACGGGGCGAGCAAACCCCUUGUCGUCCCGGCGUUCGCAUGCUGAGUCGGGCCUUGGUGGAGCUCCUGAGACAAACCAGUAUGUAUCAACCACCUCGUCUUUGCUGCUACACUGCCUCAGGCUAUGGAAGCUCCAUUUGUGGCUCACAGCCGUGGGCGAUGGUCGUUGAUCGAUGCCUGCUAAUUGAACUGGACUGUUCUGAGUUGCACGUGUCUGGAAAAUGUCCUCCCGAGGGUGGCCGUGAAUGCAAAGCCAGGAAGAUUAGCCGCCAAGAGUGGUCGCAAUUGACCAGAUAGGUGGGGUAUAAAUGGAAUAAAUAAAUAAAUAAAUAAAGAUUCUGAGCUUGGAAACCUGAAAGCCUUCCUCUCGAUCAUCUUCAAUUAGACAUCACCUGCAAAAGCCUCUUUGGGGAUCCGAGUGGCGCCCAGGAAAGUUAGUUUUUCUUGGACUACAGCAGAAUGGCGUGAUUCUGGGAAUGACCACAGCAUCAAACCACCAAAUGCAUAAAGUAGAGUUGCCAGCUGAUCAGAAAAACGCCUGCCUAUCUUGCUUCUCUGCUUUUAGCAGCACUUUGAUUUUCACAAACCAGCAAAUGAUGCUUUUCAUUGCAUGGAGAGAAAAAUUCCUACCGCCCCCUGUUUCUGCAGAUGAUAUGGCUGUGAACGUCCAACAGCUAAUACAGUGGUGCCUCGCAAGACGAGCGCUUUGCGAUGAUCGGUUCCCUGUUUUGCUAACCGACUAUCGCAAAACGAAGAUUUUCGCACAGCUGAUCGGCGGUUUCAAAAUGGCUGCCGGGUAAAAAAAAUGGCCGCCCGCUGUUUUCUGGGAUGGAUUCCUCGCUGCACGGGCAGCGAAAAUGACCGCGCUAUGGAGGAUCUUCGCUGGGCAGUGAGUUUUAAGCCCAUAGGAACGCAUUGAAGGGGUUUCAAUGCGUUUCUAUGGGCUUUUUAAAAUUGCUUAACGAUGUUUUCAUUUUACAAUGAUUUUGCUGGAACGAAUUAACAUCGUAAUGUGAGGCACCACUGUAUGUGGCAUGGAAAGAGUGACCCAUGUGAGCAGAGGCUUCAUGGUGGUGUACAGUUCUUUUUUUAUUCUUACAUUCUAGGAUUAUUAUUAUUAUUAUUAUUAUUAUUAUUAUUAUUAUUAUUAUUAUUAUUAUUAGUCCUUUGGAAGAGAGUAUCCACGAGGGAUCAGUUCGAAGCUACCCCUCUGUACUGUGGAUGCCCCCAAACCUAUAUUUUUGCAUAAUCUCUAGUUCCCCCUAGUGGCCAAUUUUGUUAAUACACCUUGGAAAUACAUAUUUCUGAGUUUUUAAAAUUUAAUAUUUUCGAGCAACCGAUCACAGGCACCACAUGUACUGAUCCCGUGGAUAUGGGGGGGGGUUUCCUACGUAUUCGUUAUUGCUAAUUAUUUAUUGCUGUUGAUUGUGAAUCAUUAUUAUUUUACUGCCUCUGUAGCAUUCCUGAAUGAUUCUUCGCCCAAAGAUGCAGACAAAAUGUCUCAGUAUCCAUUUUUAAUCUCCUUUAUAUUGCUACUAUGAUGAUGAUGAUGAUGAUGAUGAUGAUGAUGUUUUUCAGUAGAGUCAUUGCACUUGUCCUAAUCAUGAACACAGAAUAUCUACAGAAUAUGGCCCUGAAUACAGUCCUGGUGCCACUGGGGGGGGCAUCUGGAUGAGACUGUCUGGUAUCCUGAUGCAGUGUUUUCGUGGUGCAGGGGGAAUGGAGCUAGACUCUCAGCACGGCCACGAAGCUAUGCCUGGGUGGAGAAAGCAGCCACGUGGGUGGAAUGUGCUAAGAUUCACUGAAUAUUCUGGGAUGUGCGACUCUCCUGCCUUCCCACAGAGGUCAAGAAGGUGACCCCACUUCCCCCCCGUCUUUGUUACUAUUUUGUGACUCUUUUCUCUGAAUUUCAGGAUAAGAUUGUGGGGGUGCGUGGGGGGGUUGGAGAAUGACAGAGAGCGAUAUUGUUUAAGAACCCCAAAGAAUGUUUCUAGCUAUCCUGUUUUUUCUUGUUUCACAUCUUGCUAUUUUCUUACCCAAAUAAAUCCUAUCUUGGCAGAGGUAUCA